AUUGAACGCUGGCGGCAUGCCUUACACAUGCAAGUCGAACGGCAGCACGGGAGCAAUCCUGGUGGCGAGUGGCGAACGGGUGAGUAAUGUAUCGGAACGUGCCCAGUCGUGGGGGAUAACGUAGCGAAAGCCACGCUAAUACCGCAUACGAUCUGUGGAUGAAAGCGGGGGACCGUAAGGCCUCGCGCGAUUGGAGCGGCCGAUAUCAGAUUAGGUAGUGGGUGGGGUAAAGGCCUACCAAGCCGACGAUCUGUAGCUGGUCUGAGAGGACGACCAGCCACACUGGGACUGAGACACGGCCCAGACUCCUACGGGAGGCAGCAGUGGGGAAGUUUGGACAAUGGGCGCAAGCCAGAUCCAGCAAUGCCGCGUGCAGGAUGAAGGCCUUCGGGUUGUAAACUGCUUUUGUACGGAGCGAAAAGGCUCUCUCUAAUACAGGGGGCUCAUGAAGGUACCUGGUGAAUAAGCCACGGCUAACUACGUGCCAGCCGCCGCCGUAA
rnacentral:rRNA from 1 species